CUGAGGUACCCAAAAUUAGGCCAUUGUUGUAAAUUGAGGCCUUUCCGCCUUGCCCGUUAACAACAGUCGGUGGGCUAAGGCUCAUUGGAAGUCACUGUUUAGACUUGAUCACGGCUGACGUAGUCCUGGUCAUAAGCAGAAGCCUGGCAGUGAAAGGUCCUGAUUCCAUCCCCAGCCUCCAGAGGCAGAUGGUCCCCCAGGGAUGGAACAACCCUGGGGAAUAUUUUACACUCACAGUCUUUCCCACGGGCUGGGUAAUUCCACAGUCUCAUUCACAGGGCUGAGAACCUCAGGGUUAAGUUGCACAAAGUGAAACUAACUGAAAUGUGCCCCCUGCGCUGCACGCUGUGCUGUGCUGCCCUGGGGAGAUGUGGCUUUAAGCUGCUGUCCCAGCCCCUUCCCACUCUCAAGAAGGACUGGGCCAAAAGAGAUCUGAUGAGGUUCAACAAGCGUAAGGAUUUUUAUCUCUCUAGGCCGAUCUGAUCAGAAGAUCUCGGGGAGCCUUACAGUUUAUCUCCCGCUGAGUCCCCCUUUUAAGGCCAUCUAUCAGAGCUGACUUUAAUGAACUCCACACACACAAAGCUAUAAAAUAAAACAACAACACUUUAUUUGCUAAGGGGAGAGGAAGGAAUGGAAAGGGGAAUGGAUUAAUGAUUCUGGAGAUUCGGAAUAACACACAGGCACUUAUAAUACAAGAUGUUCUAUCUUUACAGACAUCAGCGAUAAAGGGGUGCAGGAUCCAGAAAAGAGAAGCCAGUAGUGAACACUGACCGUGGACAACAGAUGAAACAGACAGACGAACUAUUGCAAGAAGGUGUGGAUACAACAGUACAUUGAGAGCCGAGAAGGAAGGACUGUGCUGGAGUACUAAUUCUGAACAUGGCACUAGGUCUUUCAUGAACCCAAGGAGCUGAUAUAUUUCCAGAAACCCACCCCAUGGUACAUGCUCAGAUGGGAAGGGCUUGAACCACCCAACUAGAAGCAGAACACAGACAGAUGUUUUCCUCAGGUGCUACCCCAGACGAUACUGCCAGGACCGCAAUUCAUUGUGCAGCUUGUGCUGACGGCGGCCUCACCGUACCCUGCACCACUUGCUGUGUCCCCUCCUGGAUUGCAGCAAACCCUGCAACAGGAUGCCCUUCGUGGUGACAAGCACUCCCAUCAACUGCCCAGAGUGUUAACCCUUUUCCUUGUACUUCUUCCCAGGAUGUUGCUAAGAAGAAUGGAGAUAGUAAGUCUAAAUCAGGAUCUGGCAACGGACAUUCGUGCUCAUCUCCUGCGGUAAUCGGAGCAUAGGGAAGGAUUCUCGUAUGGGGGGGAUCUUCUCAGUACGAAUAUCCCGAUUGACCAGACUUAGAGUCCAUCCCGCC